AUUUUCUGACCAAAACGGAACUGAUGGUGGGGCCAGUCCGAUCCCCUUAUCAAAGCCAGUAGUCACAUAGCAGCAGUAGACCAUUCAAGUGCUCAGGUGUCUUUCUCUUUGUGGCUUACAGGCUAUCAUCAGCACAACACCUUACUCAUCUCCUAUCUUCUGUUUUAAACUAUAUUAUGUAAAUAGUGCAAGCGAUGAGUGAAGGGUGACUAAUAGGCUUCUUUAAUCAGCACUGCAGUAUCUUUUGUUGAAUUAACCUAUACUCACUUCAUUUUAUUUAUAUAAUACAGUCCAUUUAGCAAAUUUUGUUUGAUGUGCAGUGACAUGACCUUGACAGUCAAGAUGCUCUUUCAGCUAGGCAGAGCAUGUUCUAUUUACAGCAGGCCAGCAGACACCAGGCAGUAAGGUGAUGUAUGAGUCAAUUAUCAGGAUGGAAAUGUUUUUUGGCAGCUUUCUCAGUGAAUCAGUAUCACCGCAGAACCUUUUUGGACACCCAGAUGUUGAGAGAUGCCCAUUCCUGAGGAAUAUCAAUGGAGCUACAACCUUUUCCCUCUCAUCUGCUUUGCCAGUAGCUGCUCAAGGAGGCAAGGGUCCAAUUUUUGAGGAAGGGUCAGGCUUUGAGUCAGCAUUCAAGCUUUUCCAUGGCCGAGAUGGAAUAGUUCCCCUUUCAGAAAGAUCAUAUGUAUCUGAUGAAAACCACAAUGAGAGCAUUGACGUCAAGUUAUAUACUUAGUUAGGCUCAAUUUAGAGUA